CCUAAAGCCCCACUUUUGAGAUGUUUGAAAAAUAUUUUUUUUUCUUACUAGAAAUGUUCUCCCAACACUAGUCUGCUGUGGAAACUAUUAGGGAGGAUUGUUGUAACUUUCAUUCAUUUCGUCCAAUUUAAGAAGGUCAUCGCAGCCGAAAAUGAGGGCGUUGAUGACGCUGAGGAGCGUGAACAUUUACUUGCCUUGUAGUGGUCCAGAGCAUCCAGAGCAAGGCGAUGACCAUCUGUAGAAAACAUGCUGAGGGCUGCAAGAAGAUCAAACACCUGCUUCUUCACCAUGGUGUUGGAGGUGUCCAAGGCUGUGGAGCAACAUGAG